AUUGAACGCUGGCGGCAGGCCUAACACAUGCAAGUCGAGCGCGAAAGUCUUCGGAUGAGUAAAGCGGCGAACGGGUGAGUAAUGCAUGGGAAUCUGCCUGGUAGUGGGGGACAACGUCUCGAAAGGGACGCUAAUACCGCAUACGCCCUACGGGGGAAAGGGGGGAUCUUCGGACCUCUCGCUAUCAGAUGAGCCCAUGUCAGAUUAGCUAGUUGGUAGGGUAAAGGCCUACCAAGGCGACGAUCUGUAACUGGUCUGAGAGGAUGAUCAGUCACACUGGAACUGAGACACGGUCCAGACUCCUACGGGAGGCAGCAGUGGGGAAUAUUGGACAAUGGGCGCAAGCCUGAUCCAGCCAAUGCCGCGUGUGUGAAGAAGGCCCUUGGGUUGUAAAGCACUUUCAGUGGGGAGAAAGGUCUAGGAACCUAAUACGUUUUGGAAUUGAUGUUACCCACAGAAGAAG
rnacentral:rRNA from 1 species